UUGACUUGUCCCCUGGUUCCUUUCCCUUUUUCUGAUUUCUAUAACUCUCUAUCUUUCUUCUCUUCUCUUCCCGUAACCUCAUCUUUCUCUCCCCCUUCUUCUUCUCUCUUUCUUUCUCUCAUGUGACUUUCGGACCUCUCUUUCCCUUUGUGAUCUAUCCCUUUUUCUCAAGCUUGUCACUCACAUAAGCAACAACCCCAAACCAACACCACUGGAUGUAGGAACAUCGGGAAAACUCAAGCAAACCUUCAUAGAACCCCAACAGUGACGGUGUCACUGUUCAUCAUCUUAUCCGACAUGUUUCGUGUUUAUCCAACGUUGAAAAUAACUCGGAGUAGCUUCACUAAAUUUUCCGGCAAGCACCGCCCCUUUCAAGGCAAUUUUCGGCCAAACAACAUCGAGUUGGCCAGUGUGCAAGGACUUAGAAUCGAGGCGUACAAUCCCGGUGUCAAGACACUUCCGUAUUGGCAUAUUCGAGUCCUCUCGAUGUAGAAUCCAUCGUUUGUUUCAUUCAAUUUUAUAUUAUUUCUUUUAGUGUUAUAGUUAGUUGUAUGCUCUGAACACGUUCCUAAAAUGCAUAUUUAUUAUAUUUUCUA